UUCCGGCAUUGCUUAACAAGUAGUCACCAAGAUCCUAUCCACGUCUAAGAUUGUCACAUAAAGUCAGUGACUCAACAUCUUCUAUGUCAGGUAAACCAAGGAGCAGCUUACUUACUAGCUUUGUUCAAGUGGCUGUCGUCGCCAUAAAGAAUCAGAAACCCUGUGUUCCUGAUUCAAACUUUGAUCAGUAUUAUCAAGGCAAUGAUAAAGAGCUGGUGUUUUCAACGGAUAGCCUAAGGUUUUUGAACAAAGCUUGCAUAAUAAAAAACCCAGAGAAUGACUUAAAUCCAGAUCAUUCAAUCAAAGAUCCAUGGAGCCUAUGCACCGUAGGACAAGUUGAGUAGCUGAAAUCGUUGCUUCAAGUCCUUCCCAUGUGGACUACCGGCAUCUUCAUGAUGGUUUUCCUGAGCUCCUUCUCCACUCUCCAAGCAAACACUAUAGACACAAAAUUACUACAUAGGAAGAUCGUUAUGAUGACACGAACUUGUAGGCGAGGAUAAUCCAGUGAAGCAGGUGAAUUUCAGAUAUAGAGAUAGAAGUUACAUGGGGGAAUGUUGAAGAGGAGAGAGUGGUCAGAGAUAGAAAAGCUUUCCUGCUGUAGAGUCGAUUUGUUGAUAUCUCGAUAUUCAUGGCCAUCAAGGCAAUACAGCAUGUCAUGGAAUCCAAUAUAAAGAAUGAAUCAAAUUCUCCAAAUUCAAUUAUGCAUGAAGAGCGCGUAGGAGACUUGUCAGUUGUUGUCAAAUGCGAUAUUCGCAAUGGAAAUAGAGUUUAAGUACUAUAAGUAUUUUUUUCUCAUUUUAUUUGCAUCAUGAAGCAAACUUAUACAAUGAUUAUUAAUUAAUAAAAGA